UACGUAGGGGGCAAGCGUUGUCCGGAAUUAUUGGGCGUAAAGAGCGCGUAGGCGGUCCGAUAAGUCGGCUGUGAAAGUCAGGGGCUCAACCCUUGAAAGCCGGCCGAUACUGUCGGACUAGAGUCCGGAAGAGGCGAGUGGAAUUCCCGGUGUAGCGGUGAAAUGCGCAGAUAUCAGGAGGAACACCGGUGGCGAAGGCGGGUCUCUGGGCCGAAACUGACGCUGAGGAGCGAAAGCGUGGGGAGCGAACAGG
rnacentral:rRNA from 1 species